UGGAGCUUCCCCUUUUCGAAUCUUCUCAACUCCUGAGCAUCAUCCUCUUCCUGAGCAAAGAUUUCCCAACUCCUCCUCUUCGCCAACCCUAGUCUUCCUCCUCCCGAGAUCUGGUCCUCUGUGUUCUCUUCUCCGACGAGAUUCCAGACCUCCAUCGUGUCGUCUACCCUAAACGCAGCCCGGCUUCCACCAAGCAGCGUAAUAAAAGGUCAAAUAAGAUCAAAGAAACAGCUACACUGGCAUUAUGGGAGAAAGUGACCAAAAUAAUUUUUUGUGACCUUAGCAUUAAAUAAAUAGAACAAGGAAAUAAGCAAACAACCUUUUUUAACAAAGAAGGGUGGCAAAAUAUUACAAAAAAGAUCAAGAAAUUUACAGACAGAGAGUAUGACAUGAUGCGAUUGAAAAAUAAAUGGAAUCAACUUAAGAAGGAUUGCAAAAUAUGGAAGUAAUUGAAAUGAGGCUCAACAUAUUGGGGUGAGAUUCGGUGAAAUGAACAAUAUAUGCACCUGAGGAGUUUUGGGUCAAAGACUUAUGGUGGUGCCCGCUGCAAAGAAAUUUAAGAUUUCUAGAAUUGUGCCUGAAUUAGAGGAAAAGCUUGAUCACAUGUUUGGGGUGAUGGUUGCAAUGGGGAACUGUACAUGUAUCCCAUGCGAGGUAGGGUUUUCUGCCAAUCCAAUGGAUCUGGGAACCCCGAAGGUUCAGGUGAUCUUAUUGAAGUCCUCAGUCCGGAGCAGAACGAAUAUGAUUCCACUCCCCAUGCCAAGCUUCCAAGGGUAGAUAAUAGAAAAAAAAAUUGGUUAUAGUUUUAUUAGAAACCAAAUCUCUCAGCUGGUGUUUGCUAUCAAUGCAAAAUCAUGGACUUCUCAUUCAACCAAUAUUGAGGAGGCACUUGGAAUCAUUACUUUCUAUUAUUUAAUAUGAGUUUCGGGUUAUUACUUUUCUUUUUAGAUUUGUUCGUAGCGAUAUUUAUGUGAUGUUUUUGA